GACGUAGGGCGCGAGCGUUGUCCGGAUUUAUUGGGCGUAAAGAGCUCGUAGGCGGCUUGUCGCGUCGAUCGUGAAAACUUGUGGCUCAACUACAAGCUGGCGGUCGAUACGGGCAGGCUGGAGUUCGGUAGGGGAGACUGGAAUUCCUGGUGUAGCGGUGAAAUGCGCAGAGAUCAUGAGGAAGACCAGUGGCGAAGGCGGGUCUCUGGACAGUUCCUGACGCUGAGGCACGAAGGUCAGGGGAGCAAACGGG
rnacentral:rRNA from 1 species